GCUCAGAGUAUAAGCCAAUGGAGCUUGGAAGGCUUCCGCAGAUGGUGUCCAUCAUACGUGGUGUUCUUAAGACCUUGAGUGUGGCUCGUCAGGCGAAGCAUUUUAGUAUGCCGACCAGCUGUCGUGCGGGGGUUCGGCUUGGAGGUCUUAGGCUUCGGCCGAACGGCUUCCCGGCUGUCCCCUUUGGAAUGGACGUUCAGAGCUCUUGUGUCUAAUGCGGUUAUGCCCACCACAGCACGUUGUGAGGUCACCCACAGGCUCAAACUGCCGAUCGCGCAUCCAGGACGAUGGCAACGAUGCGUUGUCGAUGAUGGCUCGAGAGAGACUUCACUCACACGCGUGUCUAGUCCUGGGUCGGGCGGCGACCGAGAUAAACCUGGUAUGAUCCUCUUGCGACGAGCUGCUUUCUGGCCAGACCGACGCCCAGGCGCUUCCACUGUGCCGGAAGCGUCAAUCCCAGGCGGUGUGAACCCAGCUGCAUUAUGCAAGGUCUCUCAGCCGGGCGUUGGUCUGAGUGGUGUUAAGUCCAGCACCAUCGGUCACGUCUCGAAACACGGGCCAAGGAGUAUAGCAUGUGUGCAAGUCUAAGGGUCUCACAAAACCCGAAGGCGAAGUGAAAGCAAGACUGUGGCGGGGGAGCUACGGCAAACCCGCCGGCCUAGGUGACGCUUGCGUCGCCUGGCUUUUAGCAGAGCUGAUCCUGUUUUCUCGGUUAAUUCUUGGUGCAGGCGCAAGCUCCGGGCUCACGUACAACACUGGUCACGCCUCGCG
rnacentral:rRNA from 3 species